UACGGAGGGGGCUAGUGUUGUUCGGAAUUACUGGGCGUAAAGCGCACGUAGGCGGCUUUGUAAGUUAGAGGUGAAAGCCCAGGGCUUAACCCUGGAAUUGCCUUUAAGACUGCAUCGCUAGAAUCGUGGAGAGGUGAGUGGAAUUCCGAGUGUAGAGGUGAAAUUCGUAGAUAUUCGGAAGAACACCAGUGGCGAAGGCGACUCACUGGACACGUAUUGACGCUGAGGUGCGAAAGCGUGGGGAGCAAGCAGG
rnacentral:rRNA from 1 species